GGGGGCUUGCAUGGGCGCAGCCUGAUGCAGCAACGCCGCGUGAGGGACGACGGCCUUCGGGUUGUAAACCUCUUUUAGCAGGGAAGAAGCGAAAGUGACGGUACCUGCAGAAAAAGCGCCGGCUAACUACGUGCCAGCAGCCGCGGUAAUACGUAGGGCGCAAGCGUUAUCCGGAAUUAUUGGGCGUAAAGAGCUCGUAGGCGGUUUGUCGCGUCUGCUGUGAAAACUGGAGGCUCAACCUCCAGCCUGCAGUGGGUACGGGCAGACUAGAGUGCGGUAGGGGAGAUUGGAAUUCCUGGUGUAGCGGUGGAAUGCGCAGAUAUCAGGAGGAACACCGAUGGCGAAGGCAGAUCUCUGGGCCGUAACUGACGCUGAGGAGCGAAAGGGUGGGGAGCAAACAGGCUUAGAUACCCUGGUAGUCCACCCCGUAAACGUUGGGAACUAGUUGUGGGGUCCAUUCCACGGAUUCCGUGACGCAGCUAACGCAUUAAGUUCCCCGCCUGGGGAGUACGGCCGCAAGGCUAAAACUCAAAGGAAUUGACGGGGACCCGCACAAGCGGCGGAGCAUGCGGAUUAAUUCGAUGCAACGCGAAGAACCUUACCAAGGCUUGACAUAUACGAGAACGGGCCAGAAAUGGUCAACUCUUUGGACACUCGUAAACAGGUGGUGCAUGGUUGUCGUCAGCUCGUGUCGUGAGAUGUUGGGUUAAGUCCCGCAACGAGCGCAACCCUCGUUCUAUGUUGCCAGCACGUAAUGGUGGGAACUCAUGGGAUACUGCCGGGGUCAACUCGGAGGAAGGUGGGGAUGACGUCAAAUCAUCAUGCCCCUUAUGUCUUGCGCUUCACGCAUGCUACAAUGGCCGGUACAAAGGGCUGCAAUACCGCAAGGUGGAGCGAAUCCCAAAAAGCCGGUCCCAGUUCGGAUUGAGGUCUGCAACUCGACCUCAUGAAGUCGGGAGUCGCUAGUAAUCGCAGAUCAGCAACGCUGCGGUGAAUACGUUUCCCGGGUCUGUACACACCGCCCGUCAAGUCAUGAAAGUCGGUAACACCUGAAGCCGUGCUAACCCUUGUGAGGGAGCCGUCGAAGUGGGAUCGGUAAUAGACUAGUCGACAAAGAGAUGAUACCAC
rnacentral:rRNA from 1 species